GAGAAAUAUUGUUCAAUGAUGAUUCAGCUCUCCUGUCAUUGGAUACACCUUCAUGACAAUCACAACCAACCAUUAAAUGCUGUUCACUAGUUGAUAUCUUUAAGAGACAACGCAGUAGUUGGUCCCAACCAAUACUAACUGGAUGAUUCAACUCCAUACUUUUCUGCAUAACGCUCCUGUCAGUCUGAGAGCAAUUACUAUUGAUGUCAACCCUAGGUAGAUUCUCUAAUGAAUUCUCCACCCGCUUAUUGUCUUGUUUUUUCCAUUUAACAACGCUCGACUCUGCCCUUCUUGUGGGACUUUCUUUUUGGUUAUGAUCAACAGUAUUCCUGUCCUGCAAAGUACUGCUCUCUACUGCUUGCUCUUUCAAUGGUAAAACAGAUUUUACAGCUAGCAUUUCUUGUCUCCUUUCUGAUGCUAACUGGGUAGAAUAAGAUCCACUGACUUUUAA
rnacentral:misc_RNA from 1 species